UGGUGAGAUAAAAGCCCACCAAGGCAACGAUCAGUAACCGGCUUGAGAGAGUGAACGGUCACAUUGGAACUGAGACACGGUCCAAACUCCUACGGGAGGCAGCAGUGGGGAAUAUUGCACAAUGGGGGAAACCCUGAUGCAGCGACGCCGCGUGAGCGAUGAAGGAAUUCGUUUCGUAAAGCUCUGUCCUAGGGGAAGAUAAUGACAGUACCCUUGGAGGAAGCCCCGGCUAAAUACGUGCCAGCAGCCGCGGUAAUACGUAUGGGGCGAGCGUUGUCCGGAAUUAUUGGGCGUAAAGGGUACGUAGGCGGUUUCAUAAGUCAGAUGUAAAAGCGUGGGGCUCAACCCCAUAAAGCAUUUGAAACUGUGGAACUUGAGUAGUGGAGAGGAAAGUGGAAUUCCUAGUGUAGCGGUGAAAUGCGUAGAUAUUAGGAGGAAUACCAGUGGCGAAGGCGACUUUCUGGACACAAACUGACGCUGAGGUACGAAAGCAUGGGGAGCAAACAGGAUUAGAUACCCUGGUAGUCCAUGCCGUAAACGAUGAAUGCUAGGUGUCGGGGGUCAAACCUCGGUGCCGCAGUUAA
rnacentral:rRNA from 1 species